GAAAUGCGAUAAGUAAUGUGAAUUGCAGAAUUCAGUGAAUCAUCGAAUCUUUGAACGCACAUUGCGCCCGCCAGUAUUCUGGCGGGCAUGCCUGUUCGAGCGUCAUUUCAACCAUCAAGCCCCGGCUUGUGUUGGGGACCUGCGGCUGCCCGCAGGCCCUGAAAAACAGUGGCGGGCUCGCUGUCACACCGAGCGUAGCAGCAUACAUUCUCGCUCAGGGCGUGCUGCGGGUUCCGGCCGUUAAACGACCUUCAUAACCCAAGGUUGACCUCGGAUCAGGUAGGAAGACCCGCUGAACUUAAGC
rnacentral:misc_RNA from 1 species